rnacentral:misc_RNA from 1 species
CCUUCCUUUUCUAGGAACCCCAUUUCCCAGUCGAAUGAACUAGGGGCAUAAAGUAGGCAUCUGUAGUGGGUAUCUACUUGGUGAAUAUGUUUUGUAAAUCCUGUCCACCCCCGUGGAUGGGUAGUCGGCAAAACGUCGGACUGUCGUAAGAAUUGAAACGCUGGCACACUGUUGGGUCCUGAGGCAACACGUUGUGUUGUCACCCUGCUUGGUGGUGGGGUGUGGACUUUGACUUCUGAAUAGUGGUUGCGAGCAUC